rnacentral:lncRNA from 1 species
CAAGUCCCUCUGUGGGAGCUGUCCAGUUUCUCCUGGAGACAGGCAGAGGGGGCGGGGCCCCAGGACUCCUGGGCUGCCCACCUCAAAGCCCUUGGCCCAGUCCCCUGUGCAGACUUCUGGCACAGAGGCCCGCAUCCCAGGCUGAGCUCCCUGGGGCCAACCACAGAAGGUCCAAGUGCUCUGCGUUCCUGCCUAUGUUUUUAAUUACCCCACUUACUUUCCCAUUCAUCUUUCCCUUCCCAGUCCUUUCUGUACAGCCCCCAGACUAAUGUGCCUCAAAUCCUGAUCUCACUGAAUUCCUUCCCUGGCUCAGAGACUUCUAUGGCUCCAUUCUGUCCAGGCUCGGCAUUUAGCGUUCAUACACACACCCCUCUCCAAGGGCGACGGCUGUUCCUCUUUUCUCUCCUCUGAUUCCGCCUGGGCUCCCUGUCAUCUCCUGUCCCGCCACCUCCCACCUCCAGACCCUUGGCCAGACUGUUGCCUUCCUGGAUCUCCUUCCUUACUCUCUCCUUUCCACUAUCUAAAUGUUAACUUUCCUUUCAGGUUCCCCUCACACAGAGCGGAAGCACAGCCCUGGCAUCAAGUGGGAGCAUGGCCCAGGGCAAGGAGCUCUGGGAGUGCAGCCUGGGGCCUUGAAUGACCCGGAGGACUGGAUUUGAGGAGGGCGCCUCCUGAACCUUCUUCUGUCCUCUAGAGGGACUGCACCAGAUGGCAGCUUCCUGUGAGCGGGAGCCCUCAGGUCAGGAAUUGAGGGUGCAUCCAGCUGUGAGCCAGGGGCCAUGGAGCAAGGCUCACCCGCUUCCCAGGAGGUUCUCAAGGGCUGGGCUCUCAGGUAGAGAAACUGAAGCUCAUCAGACCUCUCGGCCACGGCUACUUCAGGCUCCUAGGAGACUCACCUGCCUGUAAAGAUGGUACCAGGAGCUAACAAUUGCUAGUGAAGUCUAAUAUGGGAGCUGCUAGCCACACGCGCUUCUGAGCAUUUGAAAUGCUGCUGUUCCCAAUUACAAUGUGUUAAAGGUGUAAAAUAUAUGCCAGAUUUUGAAGACAUUGUGCCAAAAAAGGUAAAAUUUUUAUUAAUUAUUUUAUAUUGGGUCCAUAUUGAAACUAUAUAUAUGUGUGUAUAUAUAUGAGUGUGUGUGUAUAUAUAUAUAUAUAUAUAUAUUUUUUUUUUUUUUUUUUGAGAUGGAGUCUCACUCUGUCACCCAGGCUGGAGGGCAGUGGUGCAAUCUUGGCUCACUGCAACCUCCACCUCCCGGGUUCAAGUGAUUCUCCUGCCUCAGCCUCCCAACUGGCUGGAAUUACAGGCACAUGCCACCACGCCUGGCUAAUUUU